GUGAACGGGUAGGGUAGGGGGUGAGUGCGCGAAACGGUGUCCGUUUGCGAAGCCGCCGCGACCUGGGGCUCUAGAGUUCAGACCUAAGAAUUGGCCGACCCACAGCCUCUGGUUAGAGCAAUGGUGCCACCUAGCGGACCAUGUCGGAGCGGUCUACGGUGGCUGCUGCGGGGACCCCAGCCUCCAGGAGGUGCUAAUGACGAGCUGGAGAGGAGCUUCAGCACCAUCGUGGGCCGGACAGCUCCUCCCGCCCCCGGCCCGGGAAACCGGGCUUCGGAGCCCCUCGGAAGGGACUCAGCGGAAGACCUAGAAGGAACUCCGAACCUACCCAGUCCGCAUCAGACAGCCCCCGAUGGCUAGUCUGCGAGGCUGGAAUGCGGGAACCCUCCACUCUCCCUUCUCUAAACUGUCCAUUCUUC